UAUAAUAAUGAGUGUGCAACCUCGCAGAGCUUGGUUAUGCUGCCUGUGAGCUUUGCAUCCUUUCAAUAAAAAUGACCCUCGGCAAUGGAUAUCUCGGCUCUUGCAUCGAUGAAGAACGUAGCGAAAUGCGAUACGUGGUGUGAAUUGCAGAAUCCCGCGAACCAUCGAAACUUUGAACGCAAGUUGCGCCUCAAGCCAUUCGGUUGAGGGCACGUAUGCUUGGGUGUCAUGCACUAUGUCUCCCCUCUCGUGAGUGGAGUGGGAAUAGAUCCUGGCCUCCUGGGCCCUUCCAUGGGCGUGGUUGGCCGAAAAUGUUGUCCUUGAUUUUGUUGAUGUCUUGGUGUGCGGUGGAUGCGCCAGGUGUGCAUAGUUGCCAGCCUUGCUCGGCUUCAUUGUGGCGGCGGGAUCCUAUGAAGCUGCCGGUUUUGGCUCUUUGAUUGCAACCCCAAGUCAGGCGAGACUACCCGCUGAGUUUAAGCAUAUCAAUAAGCGGAGGAAA
rnacentral:rRNA from 1 species